UACGGAGGGUGCGAGCGUUGUCCGGAAUCACUGGGCGUAAAGGGCGCGUAGGUGGCUCGUGAAGCGUGCGGUGAAAGUCCGAGGCUCAACCUCGGAUCGGCCGUGCGGACUCGCGGGCUCGAGCGUUGUAGAGGCGGGUGGAAUUCCGGGUGUAGCGGUGGGAAUGCGUAGAGAUCCGGAAGAACACCGGUGGCGAAGGCGGCCCGCUGGGCAACUGCUGCACUGAUGCGC
rnacentral:rRNA from 1 species